GCCUCAAUGUUUAACUUGGAGGCCACAUCACAUCAGUUGAAAACUCAUAAACCGACUGACAGACCCAGAAGAAACGCAGAGUAUCCAUGGAGGAUCGUCCUUCUCAAGACGAACCCCAAGGGGUCAAAACCCUAGUCUCAUUCUACUCCCACUAUCUAUGGAACCGAUUCUUCACUUUCCUUCCCUCGUCCAACUCCAAUGUUAUCGGGAAAAUCUUCAAUUUCUCCCGCCAAACAGCUCGCGCCUCUUCUCGCAGACGAAGGCCUUGCCUCCCUCUCCC
rnacentral:misc_RNA from 1 species